AAAAAAAAAAGAGAGAGAGAAAGAAUGAAACUUGCCCGGUGUAUCUUGUGGUCUGGAGCUUAUCGUCCUAUCUGUGGCUGUGGAGUCCAAGACAAAGCAGAACAGGCAGCCGCAUUCAAGGAAGAUCUGAACACACAGCGGAGAUGCAUCUGUUUCCCGUAGAGCUGAUAGUCACACACGCAGAUGUCUAUCACUCAAGUCCUCUGACAUCUCAAAAUUACUGCCUGAGACGAACGAGGGCUGCGGAUCACAAUGUCCUUAAAUUUCCCCAAAUUUGACAACAUUGAGAGGACUGGCGAGCGUAUCCCCAUUUAAGAAAGGUUGUAUUUCUAGGUGACACAUCUUUCUGGAGUACAUUUGGCUAUAUUUAGUAAAGUGCUGAUUAACCCUUCUUGAUCUUUUCUCCUGACAAGAA